rnacentral:rRNA from 1 species
GAUGAACGCUGGCGGCGUGCCUAAUACAUGCAAGUCGAGCGAACGGACGAGAAGCUUGCUUCUCUGAUGUUAGCGGCGGACGGGUGAGUAACACGUGGAUAACCUACCUAUAAGACUGGGAUAACUUCGGGAAACCGUAGCUAAUACCGGAUAAUAUUUUGAACCGCAUGGUUCAAAAGUGAAAGACGGUCUUGCUGUCACUUAUAGAUGGAUCCGCGCUGCAUUAGCUAGUUGGUAAGGUAACGGCUUACCAAGGCAACGAUGCAUAGCCGACCUGAGAGGGUGAUCGGCCACACUGGAACUGAGACACGGUCCAGACUCCUACGGGAGGCAGCAGUAGGGAAUCUUCCGCAAGGGGCGAAAGCCUGACGGAGCAACGCCGCGUGAGUGAUGAAGGUCUUCGGAUCGUAAAACUCUGUUAUUAGGGAAGAACAUAUGUGUAAGUAACUGUGCACAUCUUGACGGUACCUAAUCAGAAAGCCACGGCUAACUACGUG